AACGAACGCUGGCGGCAUGCCUAACACAUGCAAGUCGAACGAGACCUUCGGGUCUAGUGGCGCACGGGUGCGUAACGCGUGGGAACCUGCCCUUUGCUUCGGAAUAACAGUGAGAAAUUACUGCUAAUACCGGAUGAUGUCUUCGGACCAAAGAUUUAUCGGCAAAGGAUGAGCCCGCGUAGGAUUAGCUAGUUGGUGGGGUAAUGGCCUACCAAGGCGACGAUCCUUAGCUGGUCUGAGAGGAUGAUCAGCCACACUGGGACUGAGACACGGCCCAGACUCCUACGGGAGGCAGCAGUGGGGAAUAUUGGACAAUGGGCGAAAGCCUGAUCCAGCAAUGCCGCGUGAGUGAUGAAGGCCUUAGGGUUGUAAAGCUCUUUUACCCGGGAUGAUAAUGACAGUACCGGGAGAAUAAGCUCCGGCUAACUCCGUGCCAGCCGCCGCGGUAACAC
rnacentral:rRNA from 1 species